rnacentral:rRNA from 1 species
AGUGAACGCUGGCGGUAGGCCUAACACAUGCAAGUCGAACGGCAGCACAGUAAGAGCUUGCUCUUACGGGUGGCGAGUCGCGGACGGGUGAGGACUACACCGGAAUCUACUUUUUCGUGGGGGAUAACGUAGGGAAACUUACGCUAAUACCGCAUACGACAUACGGGUGAAAGCAGGGGAUCUUCGGACCUUGCGCGAUUGACUGAGCCGAUGUCGGAUUAGCUAGUUGGCGGGGUAAAGGCCCACCAAGGCGACGAUCCGUAGCUGGUCUGAGAGGAUGAUCAGCCACACUGGAACUGAGACACGGUCCAGACUCCUACGGGAGGCAGCAGUGGGGAAUAUUGGACAAUGGGCGCAAGCCUGAUCCAGCCAUACCGCGUGGGUGAAGAAGGCCUUCGGGUUGUAAAGCCCUUUUGUUGGGAAAGAAAAGCAUCAGGUUAAUACCCUGCGGUGCUGACGGUACCCGAAGAAUAAGCACCGGCUAACUUCGUG